UAGCAGGUAAAGACAGAGAGAUGAAAACACUAUUCGU
rnacentral:misc_RNA from 1 species